CCUACGGGAGGCAGCAGUGAGGAAUAUUGGUCAAUGGGCGCAACCCUGAAGCAGCAACGCCGCGUGGAGGAUGAAUGUCCUCGGAUUUUAAACUCUUUUUUUUAGAGGAGUUAAUGACGGUAUCUAACGAAUAAGCACCGUCUAACUCAGUGCCAGCAGCCGCGGUAAUACGGAGGGUGCGAGCGUUACUCGGAAUCACUGGGCGUAAAGGGCGCGUAGGCGGGAUAGCAAGUCAGAUGUGAAAUCCUAUGGCUUAACCAUAGAACUGCAUUUGAAACUGUUAUUCUAGAGUAUGGGAGAGGUAGGUGGAAUGCGUGGUGUAGCGGUAAAAUGCGUAGAGAUCACGAAGAACACUGAUUGCGAAGGCGACAUGCUAGAACAUAACUGACGCUGAUGCGCGAAAGCGUGGGUAGCAAACAGGAUUAGAUACCCUAGUAGUC
rnacentral:rRNA from 1 species